CUCACCAUUAAAUGCGUGCUUCUUCUUGAUCUGUUCAAUCCUGACACUGUUGGCGUUUGAUGCUGCUGCACAUCGUUGGCUUCCCUUGCAAUUGUCGACGGUGGCCGAAAGUGCCGCCACGCUUCCCCUCUUGUUUUCUUAACUUGUUUAGGGUUGAAUUGAAUUGGGUUUAAGAGGAUGAUGGAAAUAAUGGCGGAUUAGAGUAGCAAACAUACAUGAUACAUCGAGAAGCAUGCCUAUACAUGGAUAAUAGAAUUGAAGAAUAAUGAAAGAAUGACCUUUAUAUUGAUUUAGGUUUAUUUAAGGAGAGAUAUAUAUAUUAUGAUUUUAUGAUUUAAUUUUCAGAUUAACUAUUUAUAUUUUGGAUGCAAUAGUAUGUUUUCGAUUGAGUAUACUCUUUGGCUCAUUUUUUACAAUGGUCGUUGAGUAUUUCUACUCAUUUAUAUCAAUAAUAUCAUUUUAUUUCCUCUUCAA